rnacentral:lncRNA from 1 species
UCUUCUUCAUUGUCAAUCCUUCACAUGGUUUUGUGCAUCACAAUUUGCUUCCAGAACUUCUGGUUGGGCUUCUGCCGUAUCUCUUUGCUAUUUCAACAUUGCUCACAUCAAUUGCUCCAUUGAGAGACUUUUAAAUAAUAUAGUAAUAAAGUAACUUAGUUAGAAACUUCUAAAUAAUAUAGUAAUAAAGUAAUGACAAAAU